rnacentral:rRNA from 1 species
AGUGAACGCUGGCGGUAGGCCUAACACAUGCAAGUCGAACGGCAGCACAGUAAGAGCUUGCUCUUACGGGUGGCGAGUGGCGGACGGGUGAGGAAUACAUCGGAAUCUACUUUUUCGUGGGGGAUAACGUAGGGAAACUUACGCUAAUACCGCAUACGACCUACGGGUGAAAGCAGAGGAUCUUCGGACCUUGCGCGAUUGAAUGAGCCGAUGUCGGAUUAGCUAGUUGGCGGGGUAAAGGCCCACCAAGGCGACGAUCCGUAGCUGGUCUGAGAGGAUGAUCGGCCACACUGGAACUGAGACACGGUCCAGACUCCUACGGGAGGCAGCAGUGGGGAAUAUUGGACAAUGGGCGCAAGCCUGAUCCAGCCAUACCGCGUGGGUGAAGUAGGCCUUCGGGUUGUAAAGCCCUUUUGUUGGGAAAGAAAAGCAGCAGGUUAAUACCCCGCUGUUCUGACGGUACCCAAAGAAUAAGCACCGGCUAACUUCGUG